rnacentral:snRNA from 1 species
GUGUUCGCUUCGGCAGCACAUAUACUAAAACUGGAACGAUACAGAGCUUAGCAUGGCCCCUGCGCAAGGAUGACACGCAAAUUCGUGCAGCGUUCCAUAUUUAA